AUGAUAAAGCUUGGCUUAUUGAAUAUCAGGUCCCUUUCUACGAAAGCACUUUUUGUAAAUAAUAUGAUCACUGAUCAUAAUCUAGAUGCACUCUGUUUGACAGAAACCUGGCUAAAACCUGAUGAUUACAUUAUUUUAAAUGAGUCUACACCCCAAGAUUACUGUUAUAAACAUGAGCCACGUCCAAAAGGUAAAGGGGGAGGUGUUGCUUCAAUUUAUAACAAUGUUUUCAGGAUUUCUCAGAGGGCAGGCUUCAAGUAUAACUCGUUUGAAGUAUUGGUGCUUAAUAUAACAUUAUCCAGAGAAACAAAUGUUAAUGAUAAAUCCCCUGUGAUGUUUGUACUGGCUACUGUAUACAGGCCACCAGGGCACCAUACAGACUUUAAGGAUGCUGUGAUCACACUACUGCACUUUAUUUUUAGCCAUCUGGAUAGAGCAAAGACUCAUGUCAGACUUUUAUUUGUUGAUUUUACUUCUGCUUUUAACACCAUUCAGCCCUUUCUGCUCGCUGAGAGACUGAUUGCGGAUUUUAACCUUGAUUUGAAUUUGGUGGGCUGGUUAUUGGAUUUUUUAACAGACAGAUCCCAGAGUGUGAGGGCCAACAGCACCCUACCUGAAGUCAAUUUUACAUCCACUGGUUCCCCUCAAGGUUGCUGUCUGUCUCCUCUCCUGUACAUCCUGUACACAAACCAGUGUCGCAGUUUGUACCAGGAUAGAUACAUACUUAAGUUCGUUGAUGAUUCUGUCAUUGUCAGCCUACUAUCAGGGGAUGAGCGGGACCAUGGGCCAGUCCUCAGUGACUUUGUAGAGUGGUGCGAUAGUUCCUUUUUACAGCUGAAUGUAUCUAAAACUAAGGACAUGGUCAUUGACUUUCGCAGGACACCACCUCCCCCUACAGUCACGGUUAUUAAAGGCACGGACAUUGAGCUCGUGGAGACAUACAAAUAUCUUGGAGUCAUUUUAGACAACAAACUGUGUUUUGAACCUUUAGUUGACGCUGUCUCAAAGAAAAUCCAACAAAGACUGUACUUCCUUAGGAAAAUAACCACUUUUAAUGUUUCUUCAGAAAUGAUGACUGUGUUUUAUCAUGCUUUUAUUGAAUCAGUUUUAUCUUUUUGUAUAGCUGCUUGGUUUGGAAGCCUCUCUCUGACAAAUAAAAACAGACUUGGUAGUCUGGUCAAAGUGGCGAGUAAGAUUUGCAGGAGAAGUCAGGCUCAACCUGGGGAGUUAUAA
ensembl:lncRNA